GACGAACGCUGGCGGCGUGCUUAACACAUGCAAGUCGAACGGAAAGGCCCUGCUUGCAGGGUGCUCGAGUGGCGAACGGGUGAGUAACACGUGGGUGAUCUGCCCCUUACUUUGGGAUAAGCCUGGGAAACUGGGUCUAAUACUGGAUAGGACCAUGCUGUAGGUGGUGUGGUGGAAAGAUUAGUUUCGGUAAGGGAUGAGCUCGCGGCCUAUCAGCUUGUUGGUGGGGUAAUGGCCUACCAAGGCGUCGACGGGUAGCCGGCCUGAGAGGGUGGACGGCCACAUUGGGACUGAGAGACGGCCCAGAAGCCUACGGGAGGCAGCAGUGGGGAAUAUUGCACAAUGGGCGCAAGACGGAUGCAGCGACGCCGCGUGGGGGAUGACGGCCUUCGGGUUGUAAACUCCUUUCAGCCAUGACGAAGCCCUUGUGGUGACGGUAGUGGUAGAAGAAGCACCGGCUAACUACGUG
rnacentral:rRNA from 1 species